GAGUGCGCGCGUCUAUCAAUCCCACAUGGCUUUUAUUUACAUGAGCUUGUUAAAGAAUACACAAGAAAGUGCUAACAGCAAGGCUUCGGAGCCUCUUCCGUCUGGGUCAUCACCUCUCGACGGCAGAGGGAGGCUUGCGCGGUCUGCAGGCAGGCAGGCUCUUCAGGCCCCUCUCCAGCACUUUUCAUCGCCGCUAAACUUCUGUGGCGAGUUAAACCCGAGAACACCGAAGGGGAAGCGCGCGGGAGGCGUGUGUGGUGUCCUCCGCGUUACCGACAACCGCUGGGCAUGGUGCAAAUAACGGGACGAAGAAGAAUUGAUGACCGCUAUCAGAAGCGUUAAUAGAACGUUUCUGUUAGAAGGGAAUUACAUGGUUAUGUUUGUAUGGCUUUUCGUAGGAAAAUAUUUCAUAUUAAUUGGCUACAGUACAAAUCUUAGGAUAGAAAAUGCCUCCUCGUAUCUGGCUCCGUAUAGAAACCAACGAGGUAGAGCAAAUUUGUUGCUAACCUGCGGCUUAUAUAGUAUUUCAUUUAUUGGAGAGCCUAGUUAAAUCCUAAACCUGCUGUUAUAUACCCAUUUAUGGAGCAAACACUCUAUGCUCUUCUACUGGUUUAAUAUACUAUUUGCUUAAUGGGCCAUUGACAUAAUCAUUUGAUAUAGAUCCUAGUCAUACCAUGUUACCAAGCUAUGAUAUAUUAAUAUAGCUACAUAUUAAUGGCAGAGGGCAAGCAUGUUAUAUUAUUAUCCAUGACCAAUUAGUUUCUAUCUAUCUUAGGGAUACAGCUAUCUAGGUGUUAGUCUUUACAGGCCUGAUUUUUAGAAGUCUGAGUACUCACAGCUUUAAUUGAAGUCAAAUGUGUUUCUGGAUGUACCCGUUAUUCAGGGCUACUCAUUCAGGGCCCUCUAUAUAAUAUAAUCUUUGAACAUGUAACUACAUUGUAUAUUUCUACUUGCAGUUGGAGACUUUUAUGUUUAAUUACUGUUAGCUGGGGUUUUUUUUCAUUUGUCUCCAAUGGAUAAUUAAAUAAUGCUUUUCUUUCUCUUUUCAGCUUUCUACUUGAUCAGCCAGGAGAUGGCCUAUAAAGUCAAAAGAGUGUGUCUAUGUGAGGAAAGCAUGACAUUUUGCAGUUUUUUCAUUAAUAAAUAUGGAUAUAUUUGGUUGUUCA
rnacentral:lncRNA from 1 species